GACGAACGCUGGCGGCGUGCUUAACACAUGCAAGUCGAACGGAAAGGCCCUGCUUUUGUGGGGUGCUCGAGUGGCGAACGGGUGAGUAACACGUGAGUAACCUGCCCUUGACUUUGGGAUAACUUCAGGAAACUGGGGCUAAUACCGGAUAGGCGCUCCUCCUGCAGGGGGGGGGUGGGAAAGUUUCGGCGGUUGGGGAUGGACCCGCGGCUUAUCAGCCUGUUGGUGGGGUAGUGGCUUACCAAGGUUUUGAGGGGUAGCCGGCCUGAGAGGGUGACCGGCCACAUUGGGACUGAGAUACGGCCCAGACUCCUACGGGAGGCAGCAGUGGGGAAUAUUGCACAAUGGGCGGAAGCCUGAUGCAGCAACGCCGCGUGCGGGAUGACGGCCUUCGGGUUGUAAACCGCUUUCGCCUGUGACGAAGCGUGAGUGACGGUAAUGGGUAAAGAAGCACCGGCUAACUACGUG
rnacentral:rRNA from 1 species